rnacentral:rRNA from 1 species
UACAGAGACUGCAAGCGUUAUUCGGAUUCACUGGGCGUAAAGGGUGCGCAGGCGGUUGGGUGUGUCAGAUGUGAAAUCCCGAGGCUCAACCUCGGAACUGCGUCUGAAACUACUCGACUAGAGUACUGGAGAGGGUAACGGAAUUCACGGUGUAGCAGUGAAAUGCGUAGAUAUCGUGAGGAACACCGGUGGCGAAGGCGGCGACCUGGGUAGAUACUGACGCUGAGGUGCGAAAGCGUGGGGAGCAAACAGG